UUAUUGAAAAUGUUUUAAAAAUCACUUGUUUGGUUAUCUCGGUUAAUGAAACAUUAUGGAAUGUAUUUAAUUAAACACGCCUGUGUAUUAUUUUUAAAAACAAAUCAUUCUUUUGUACGAAAAUAAGCUAUAAACUCGAGAAUAAUUCAGCCAAUUGAAAAUAUGCUCAGUUAUAUAGAAAAGUUGAAGUAUAAAAUUUGGAGAUGAUUGAAAAGAUUACACCGCUAACUACUAUACUAACGGUUUGGAUCGGCUGGAUAAUGUAUACAACAACGUUCGAUUAUCGAAGACAUCGCUUCUGCACAAUGCCUUUUACGUAUACCUCUUAUAAUUCUGAUGCUCGCAAAAGAGAAGUGGAAGUAUUGGGUAGAGUGUACAAAUUCGGAGACAAUCUAAGCAUGAAAGAAGGAAAGUGAAGCAUAAAAGUUCUUUAUAUCAUUAUAAUAUAUAUAAUAGUAUAUAUGUAUAUAUCAAGAAUUAUAGCUGUUGUAGUUAUAACAACAUUCAAUAAACCACAAUAUGAAAAAUA